CAUGCGAGUCGAGAGGGUUCGGCCCUCGGCGUACUGCUCAGUAACACGUGGAUAACCUACCCUGGGAUGGGGGAUAAUCUCGGAAAACUGAGGAUAAUACCCCAUAGGUCUGGGAGGCUGGAAUGCGCCCAGACUAAAAACUCCGGUGUCCCAGGAUGGGUCUGCGGCCUAUCAGGUUGUAGUGGGUGUAAAGGACCCACUAGCCGACGACGGGUACGGGCCAUGGGAGUGGUAGCCCGGAGAUGGAUUCUGAGACACGAAUCCAGGCCCUACGGGGCGCAGCAGGCGCGAAAACUUCGCAAUGCGCGAAAGCGCGACGAGGGGAUUCCAAGUGCAUGCACUCAGUGCAUGCUGUUUUCCAGUGUAAACAGCUGGGAGAGUAAGGGCUGGGUAAGACUGGUGCCAGCCGCCGCGGUAAUACCAGCGGCCCUAGUGGUGAUC
rnacentral:rRNA from 1 species